rnacentral:rRNA from 1 species
AGCGAACGCUGGCGGCAGGCUUAACACAUGCAAGUCGAGCGGGCAUCCUUGUGGUGUCAGCGGCAGACGGGUGAGAAACGCGUGGGAACGUGCCCUUCGGUUCGGAAUAACUCAGGGAAACUUGAGCUAAUACCGGAUACGUGCGAGAGCAGAAAGGUUUAUCUGCCGAAGGAUCGGCCCGCGUCUGAUUAGCUAGUUGGUGAGGUUAUGGCUCACCAAGGCGACGAUCAGUAGCUGGUCUGAGAGGAUGAUCAGCCACACUGGGACUGAGACACGGCCCAGACUCCUACGGGAGGCAGCAGUGGGGAAUAUUGGACAAUGGGGGCAACCCUGAUCCAGCCAUGCCGCGUGAGUGAUGACGGCCUUAGGGUUGUAAAGCUCUUUUCUUCGGGACGAUAAUGACGGUACCGGAGGAAUAAGCCCCGGCUAACUUCGUG